CAGUGCUUAUCCUACUUUGCUAAACAUUUCAUUAAACAAAACCUCAAGAAGAACUGAAAAACCAAACAAUACCUAAACCCAAAAUAAAUAAAUGAAUAAAUAAGCACACACAGAUACAUCUCUACAAGAAGAAAAAUGAGGAUUCAUGAUCGUAUUUCAGAAGACAAACAACUGGAUAUUGUUUUGUAGCAAAAAAAUGUCAUGCAGGGAGUCAGAAGUAGUUUUCCAUUCUGUUUCUGGUGUCAACUACCUCUCUGACACCAGCAAAUAGUUUAGUCUACCUCUACUUCCAUUUCCUCAUCUGAAAAAUGAGGAUUGGUCCCCAGUGCCUUAUUUAGUUCAUUUGGUGAAGUCAUGAUUUCCUGGAUGUUCUCGAUGCUUGUUCAUGUUCAUUGGUCUCAGGGCAUUGACGAGGCAGGCACUAAUUUAUCAGUCCUUAUGUGGCACCAAAUCUGAACACAGCCAGAUAUAGAUGGUCUGUGAUAGAAGAAACCAGAUGGUCUCACUGACCUCACCCCAGGUACUGUGCUUUUGAUAUUAUUCUAGAAUGUGGUCUUUAUAAUUUGGUUUCUGUAGCAUCCCAGGGACAAGUUCACAUGUGCUGGUGUGAGUUUCAUUUUGCAUGUGCUGCUUUAUCAUGAACAUGGAAGACAUACUAGGUUUCUGUAGUAGAAACACUCCAGCCUCUUCCAAAGCAGAAGGCCCUGGGCUGUGUACCUUCAAAGAGAAGCAAACAUACAGAGCUUUUAACAGCUCUGACUUCUGGGAUUGGAACACAUUGCUGAAAUCACUUCUGCCCUGAUCCAACAAUUCAUUAUCUCCCAGAAACAGUGGCUUUUAUAGCUGCUAUGGGGUUGCUAUAGUCUUCUAGAAAGAAGGAAUAAUCUCAUUACAGACAUGAAUGCUCAAGCCCUUAUAUUAAAAGCUUUAGACUUAAUUUUAUUUGUCUAAAUCUGUAAUCAAUCUAAGAGUGGGAUGGAGAUAUUUUUAUGAAACAAAUUUAGAAAAGAGCUAAUUUUAUUUUAUACAAAACAAAAUUGGCCCUUUAUAAUAAACUCCCCAAAUAGUCCAAAGAAUGAAUUAUAUUUUUAUUUCCUCAUUACACAGCUGGGAAAUUAUUGAAAUGAACAUGAAAAUCUUGAUUUCAAUUCGUACUUGAUAUGUAAAACAAGACCUUGUAAACUUCUAACAUUUUCCAAUGUAUAAGUCUGUAAUAAUUUACCAAGGACACCCUACUGCCCUAGAAUUAUUUUGAAUCUCUUUAUUGAUGUAAUCAGAUUAAUUUAACAAUGAAAAUUAGUCCCAACUUUAGAGAUGGAAUCAACACAAGUCAAGAGUAUUGUCUGAUUUGCCUGAGGCCUAUUUUCACCCAUGGAAUAAAUGGCACCAUUGGUGGUUAUUGAGUAGGUAAAUAACUACAGGUCAUAUCUGAAUCUAAUGAUAGGAGUAAUUUCAUCAAACCUAAACUUGAAUGAUAGCAUUCCACAGAAAUGGGGAGGUAGAAAAAAGUUAAGUAUCUUGAUUUGUAAGACAUAUGUAUAUACUCAAUUAGUGUCUACACAGGGCAAUUUUAUUUAGAACAGUGGGGUAAGGGGAGAAGGGAUGAGAGGAUACUAUGGAGAAUAGAACUAAGUCAGAUUAAAGGAGAAUGGAGCCUAUGAAAAGAUCUCUAGUCAGUGUGUGAGAGUGAGUGUGUGUGUGUGUGUGUGUGUGUAUGUAACAGGGAAAUGGUUACCUAACUCAGGCUCUGAAUUAUGAACCUUGUGUGAGGUAAGGUUUUACUUGUGGUAAAAUACCCUGGGAAUUGA